rnacentral:rRNA from 1 species
UACGAAGGGGGCUAGCGUUGCUCGGAAUCACUGGGCGUAAAGGGUGCGUAGGCGGGUCUUUAAGUCAGAGGUGAAAUCCUGGAGCUCAACUCCAGAACUGCCUUUGAUACUGAGGAUCUUGAGUUCGGGAGAGGUGAGUGGAACUGCGAGUGUAGAGGUGAAAUUCGUAGAUAUCUGGAGGAACACCGGUGGCGAAGGCGGCAUCCUGGACCAACACUGACGCUGAGGGAGCGAAAGCCAGGGGAGCAAACGGG